AGUGACGAAAAAUAACGAUACGGGACUCAUCCGAGGCCCCGUAAUCGGAAUGAGUACACUCUAAACCCUUUAACGAGGAUCAAUUGGAGGGCAAGUCUGGUGCCAGCAGCCGCGGUAAUUCCAGCUCCAAUAGCGUAUAUUAAAGUUGUUGCGGUUAAAAAGCUCGUAGUCGAAUCUGUGUCCCGCGCCGCCGGUUCAUCGUUCGCGGUGUUAACUGGCGUGCCGGGGGACGUCCUGCCGGUGGGCUUAGCUCGCGAGGGCGGCCCAACUCAAUCCCGCCGCGGUGCUCUUCAUUGAGUGUCGAGGUGGGCCGGCACGUUUACUUUGAACAAAUUAGAGUGCUUAAAGCAGGCUAAAACUUCGCCUGAAUACUGUGUGCAUGGAAUAAUGGAAUAGGACCUCGGUUCUAUUUUGUUGGUUUUCGGAACCCCGAGGUAAUGAUUAAUAGGAACGGAUGGGGGCAUUCGUAUUGCGACGUUAGAGGUGAAAUUCUUGGAUCGUCGCAAGACGGACAGAAGCGAAAGCAUUUGCCAAAAACGCUUUCAUUGAUCAAGAACGAAAGUUAGAGGUUCGAAGGCGAUCAGAUACCGCCCUAGUUCUAACCAUAAACGAUGCCAGCUAGCGAUCCGCCGACGUUCCUCCGAUGACUCGGCGGGCAGCUUCCGGGAAACCAAAGCUUUUGGGUUCCGGGGGAAGUAUGGUUGCAAAGCUGAAACUUAAAGGAAUUGACGGAAGGGCACCACCAGGAGUGGAGCCUGCGGCUUAAUUU
rnacentral:rRNA from 1 species